rnacentral:rRNA from 1 species
UACAGGGGGGGGCAAGCGUUGUUCGGAAUUACUGGGCGUAAAGGGCUCGUAGGCGGCCGACUAAGUCCGACGUGAAAUCCCAAAGCUUAACUUUGGAACUGCGUCGGACACUGGAUGGCUUGAAUUCGGGAGAGGGAUGCAGAAUUCCAGGUGUAGCGGUGAAAUGCGUAGAUAUCUGGAGGAAUACCGGUGGCGAAGGCGGCAUCCUGGACCGACAUUGACGCUGAGGAGCGAAAGCUAGGGGAGCAAACGGG